rnacentral:rRNA from 1 species
UUGAAAGGGAAACGAUUGAAGUCAGUCAUGCUUGCAGGGAAUCAGCAUGGUGGUUUUCUUCCUUGUGCACUUCCUUGCUUGGCAGGUUAGCAUCAAUUUUGAUUGUCAUUAAAGAACCGGGGUAAUGUGGCUUCUUCGGGAGUGUUAUAGACCUUGGUAGAUGUGACGAUCGGGAUUGAGGAUUGCAGCGAAUGCUUCUUGGCUAGUCACUUGGCUUCUGACGGUUACCUUGCUUCCGAUAGCUUGCUAACGGUGGUGAGAUUUGAUUGUCUAGAUGUUAGUGUGAUCAUAAAUUCGCUAAGGAUGCUGACGUAAUGGCUUUAAACGACCCGUCUUGAAACACGGACCA